rnacentral:lncRNA from 1 species
CCAUUCUGCUCUAUCAAGGUCAUACCCUCAGUCAGGCCAUAAUUCACCAUAUAUCUUCUCACUACUUCUAUCCAUGUCUUUUUAAGCAUUCAGCAAGCCUUUUUUGAGCCUUCCACUUGGAUCAAAUCGCCCCUCCUAACAUGUGCUAUAUUAGGUAUGCACUACACAUGGCUAGCCCACCUAAGUCUACUUUCCCUCAUCUUAUCAUCUGUGAGAGCCUAUAUAUUUAGGUCUACACUGCAAAUGGCUAGCACACCUAAGUCUACUUUCCCUCAUCUUAUCAUCUAUAAAAGCCUAUAUAUAUACAUAUAUAUAAGAAAAACCUAAAAAAUACCUAUAAGCAAAAUGCUACAGUAUUUCGCCCCUCAACGGACUUGCUAUAUCCAAAGACGGUAUUUCAAAUGGAACCGCAACAGACGGC